GAUGAACGCUGGCGGCGUGCCUAAUACAUGCCAGUCGAGCGAACAGAUGAGGAGCUUGCUCCUCUGACGUUAGCGGCGGACGGGUGAGUAACACGUGGAUAACCUACCUAUAAGACUGGGAUAACUUCGGGAAACCGGAGCUAAUACCGGAUAAUAUAUUGAACCGCAUGGUUCAAUAGUGAAAGACGGUUUUGCUGUCACUUAUAGAUGGAUCCGCGCCGCAUUAGCUAGUUGGUAAGGUAACGGCUUACCGAGGCAACGAUGCGUAGCCGACCUGAGAGGGUGAUCGGCCACACUGGAACUGAGACACGGUCCAGACUCCUACGGGAGGCAGCAGUAGGGAAUCUUCCGCAAUGGGCGAAAGCCUGACGGAGCAACGCCGCGUGAGUGAUGAAGGUCUUCGGAUCGUAAAACUCUGUUAUUAGGGAAGAACAAAUGUGUAAGUAACUAUGCACGUCUUGACGGUACCUAAUCAGAAAGCCACGGCUAACUACGUG
rnacentral:rRNA from 1 species